rnacentral:misc_RNA from 1 species
ACUAGAGAAAGAUUGCGUUUCGUUGUUGCGGUUGAAUGUUUUUAAUCUGUCAAGUAAUGCGGUCGAAUGCCGCUUUCUCUGUGUCUGCGAAGUGACUUAUUGUAAAAAUGAUUAUGAAAUAAAUUUUGAGCAUGUAGGUGAAUUCAGGAGGGUACUUCGGUAUCUAUUAUGUCUGGAGAAACAAAUGUUACUAUAAAGACACCCGAAGAAACGACGCAGAAUGCUGUUCCCUCAGGACCUCCACCUGUGCCACCUCAGGAUUUGUCUUUAAAUUUGGAUUUGUAUAAUUAUGAUUCUCCUGAUGCUCAGUCUUGCCCUUAUGUUUUAACCAGUCCAAGAUCACUUGAGGCAUGUUCUCGUGUUGGAAUUAAGCCUGUUGAUCUCCUUCAUAAGACGUUAGCAGAAUUUUCUGAUGAUGUUGAACCUGAUAAACCUUUAGAUGAAAUUGUGAAACUUUAUGAUGAACAUGAGCAGCAACGAAUAAUUUUACUCCAGAAAUGUCAAGCUGAACGAGAAUUUUUAAUAUGGAGAUCAACUUCCAAGAGGCGUUCUCAUUCUUUAUCUCCCUGUAGACGUAGUCGAUUACACAAACAACAAAAAUCUAAAGAUUUGCAGAGUCAUCGGACUAUUUCUCAGUCAUUUCGUAAUGCACCAAGACGAAAGUCUAGUGAUGAUUUAUUAUCCACAUCUGAAGGAGAAGGCCGUAGUGCUCAUCUUCAGCAUUCAAGGAGCUCCUCUGUAAAGAAUCUUCAUCGAAGUGGACAGAGGCCUAUCAGCUGGUCAACACCUGCUUCCCCUUAUUAUCAAGGGUCUCGUAAUUUAUUUGUUCGUAUUACUUCACCUGUUGUAUGUGCCAAAUUGCAAACAUUUCCAAAAGCCAAAAUGAGAUUACCACCAAAGGAUAUGAAAAUUCUUGAGAUGAUUCUGCAGAAAUAUGAAAAAUUGGAGGAGGAAGAAGAAAGAAGAGCGAGAGCACAGAGGAGGUGGGAUAAGGAGAAAGAAAUUCGAGAAAAGAAAAAAGAAGAGGCCGAAAUGGAACGAUGGAAAAACCUUGCCUUAAAACAAAAAAGAAGCAGCUCAGAAGAGCGUGCAAGAGCUUCGUCUGACAAAGGGACACCAACACAUUCCUGCUCUCGUUACCCUGCGUCAGAAAAAGAUGAUAGUGAAAGAUCAUUACUUUUCCAAAAGCGACACAGCUUCAAGCAGGCAGCAAAAAAUCAAACUAAGUCAUUUGAAGACCAGAAUCCCAAACGCAACUAUGCAUCAGAAAGAUUAUCACGUUAUGAAGCUGAGCAGAAAUUGAAGGCUAUACAGUUGAAAGAAGAACAGGUUAGAAAAAGGAGAAUGGAAAUUAUUCAGAAGCGAGAUGAUGUUCUAAAGAGAAGUGCUGAAGAAUUCAAGGUUAAACUUUUCAAAGUCAAGACAAACCAACAGGAAUUGGACAAAGCUAUGGAACAGUGGCAACAACAGGUUAUAUGUUACCAGGAAGCAGCUAAUAUGAGAGCUGCAGAAAGGGCUGCUCAGACAUUUGAGGAGCGACGUCGUAAAGCUAUGAGUGAUAGGUUGUCAAAGCAAGAAGAGCACAAAAAGAAUAUGAGAAAAAUUGAAGCUGAAGAUUUUGCAAAGUUACAAGAAAUGAUGGCAAAGUUACGUUCAAAAGAUGAAAGAUGCAAAGCAUUUAAAGAAGAAAAGACUUCUUCUAUUGAACAAUCUCGACAGUUAGCACAAGCAGCAUCUGAUUUGCGAGAUCUCAUUCGACAAAGGCUUGAUAAAGACUCCUUUGUAAAAAGAAGCCAACAAGCUGCAUUAGAAUCAAGACUACUGAGUAUAGAACCUCGCAUAUCUCAAUCUAAAGAAAAUCCUGAGGAAAAAACUUAGUUCCCCUUAAUUAUGUAAAGAACUUUUAACUUCUAUUUUGUAAAAUAUAUCGUGUAUGUUGAUCAAGAGGUUUUUUUUAGAGCAAUCAUAGUUUUAAAGAGAAGAGAGGAAGGAUGGACAAUAGCUCACCAACAUGUAAACAAGAAAAGCACGAGACUAAAAACUGAAGUAUAAAUAAUGAAGAGCAAUGUCUAGAAAUUAAAGAAUUUGGAAAAUUUAAUUUUUUUCUUUUCUGAAAUAUUUCUUUUGCAAAGGUACUAGAAGAGGUAUACCUGCAGAACAAUAAUUCAGUAAAAAUAAAUUGAUAAAAGGAAAAAAAAAAUCAAGAAGUUAUGUCCAAUAUUCUAAAGUUGCCAAAAUAUAUCAAUGUAUUGCAGCUAAACAAAUUCACGUAAUAUUAGUGUUUUAGUCAAUGCAUAUAAUUGCAUUUCAUUAUAAACAUGAAAUUUGUACAUCUGUAACUUUACUUGGAUAGAUAACAAAUUUUAAAUUUGCAUAUUUUCUAAACUGCUGCUUUAAAUAUUCUUUCGCAGAUUAUUUAGAUGUUACUUUUAAUAUCUUAUUUUCAUCAGUAAAAUACAUUUAUUUCACAAAAAUUUUCUCAUUGAAAUUUUUAUGGUAACCCUUUGAGAAAUGUUUUAAAACAACUUUGAUUGUACAAUAAAAUGUACAUAUUUUGGCUUUAGGCUAUUACUUUAUUGGUUUAUGUGAGAUAUUAAGAUAAUUUUUCAUAAAAUGAAAUUUAUUAAUAUAUAUGUGAAAAGUAAAAAAAUGUUGAAAAUUUGCGAGCUUCUUCACGUUAAAAUUAAUUUAUAUUACAAUGUGUUAUGAACUUGAUUUGUGCUUUAUUUGGGAGAAAAUAGCAAGAUUAAAUAAUCAAAUAUAUAAGAAGCAUACAUUAGUUAUUACGACCCAGCAUUAACAAAGUAUUCAAAUAGUACUUCUGUAAUUUCCACUUUUUAUAAUAUGUGCAAAAAAAUAGUAAUGUUAAAAUUUUCUGUUAUGUGUAACACCUAGAUUUCUUAAUAUUUUUCAUUAGUAUCAUAGUUUAAUAGCUUCAUAAGUUUCUUUAAAAAUUGUAUCAAUUGUUAAAGUAUAUGCACAAUCAAUUAUGCUACAGAAGUUAUCGACUUUCUGUAUAUACCUAUAUAUGAUUUAGUGAUGCUCAAAAAUUAUUAAAUUCCUUUCCCCUUUUUUAUGUGUGUAUGUUGUACACAAACAUAUCACAAGCACAAAUAUUUGGUUUUGUCUUACAAUUGUUUUAAUUAUCUGUAUUAGUUAUUAAUUUAAUAGAUAUGUUAUUAAUUAUCUGUAUUUGAAACUUUUGCAUUUAAUAACUGUAUAUAAAAAAUUUAAGAAUCUUUGUAUACUUUUAUAAUUAGUAAUAUUUUUAAAUAUAUAUUUCUUAUUUAAUGUAGAUGCUUUUAGGCAUUAGGUUUUUAUAAAUGCAUGCAUUAUGUCAAAAAUAACUAUGCACUGCUAGAAAUUAAAUACUAAAUAGAUACAAUAUUAUUUUAUUAUUAAUUUUAGCACUAAAUAUCUGACUUGUGAUUCUUUACAUUCUUUUGUCUAAAAUAUUAGUGAAAGAAUAUUUUUUGGGGGGUCAAAGUAAUCUCACUGCCCAGAUUAUAUAAAGAAGAAUUUAAUUUUUAUUUAUGCAUUUAAAAGAUCUGAAUUUUUGUAAUAUUUUUGUUUUAAAAUCAAAUGUAUUUGUCUGUAAUAAAUAAGUGAAACAUUCUGAAA